AUUGAACGCUGGCGGCAGGCCUAACACAUGCAAGUCGAACGGUAACAGGAAGCAUCUUGCUGCUUUGCUGACGAGUGGCGGACGUGUGGGUAAGGUCUGGGAAACGGCGCGAGGGAUGGGGUUAACUACUGGAAACGGUAGCUGAUACCGCAUAACGUGGCAAGGCCAAGGAGGGUGAGCUUAGGGGCUCUUGGCAUCGGCUGGGCCCAGUUGGGUUUAGCUAGUAGGUGGGGUAACGGCUGACCUAGGCGACGAUCCGUAGCUGGUCUGAGAGGAUGACCAGCCACACUGGAACUGAGACACGGUCCAGACUCCUACGGGAGGCAGCAGUGGGGAAUAUUGCACAAUGGGCGAAAGCCUGAUGCAGCCAUGCCGCGUGUAUGAAGAAGGUCUUCGGGUUGUAAAGCACUUUAAGCUGGGAGGAAGGGAAUUAAGUUAAUACCUUUGCGUAUUGACGUUACCAGCAGAAGAAGCACCGGCUAACUCCGUG
rnacentral:rRNA from 1 species